rnacentral:rRNA from 1 species
GAUGAACGCUGGCGGCGUGCCUAAUACAUGCAAGUCGAGCGAACGGACGAGAAGCUUGCUUCUCUGAUGUUAGCGGCGGACGGGUGAGUAACACGUGGAUAACCUACCUAUAAGACUGGGAUAACUUCGGGAAACCGUAGCUAAUACCGGAUAAUAUUUUGAACCGCAUGGUUCAAAAGUGAAAGACGGUCUUGCUGUCACUUAUAGAUGGAUCCGGGCUGCAUUAGCUAGUUGGUAAGGUAACGGCUUAUCAAGGCAACGAUGCAUAGCCGACCUGAGAGGGGGAUCGGCCACACUGGAACUGAGACACGGUCCAGACGCCUACGGGAGGCAGCAGUAGGGAAUCUGCCGCAGUGGGCGAAAGCCUGACGGAGCAACGCCGCGUGAGUGAUGAAGGUCUUCGGAUCGUAAAACUCUGUUAUUAGGGAAGAACAUAUGUGUAAGUAACUGUGCACAUCGUGACGGUACCUAAUCAGAAAGCCACGGCUAACUACGUG